rnacentral:rRNA from 1 species
AUUGAACGCUGGCGGCAGGCCUAACACAUGCAAGUCGAACGAGUGGCGGACGGGUGGGUAAUGUCUGGGAAACUGCCUGAUGGAGGGGGAUAACUACUGGAAACGGUAGCUAAUACCGCAUACCAUCAGAUGUGCCCAGAUGGGAUGCGCUUGUUGGUGGGGUAACGGCUCACCAAGGCGACGAUCCCUAGCUGGUCUGAGAGGAUGACCAGCCACACGGGAAAUAGAACACGGUCCGAACUCCUACGGGGGGAAGCAGUGGGGAAUGUUGGACAAUGGGCGAAAGCCGGAUGCAGCCAUGCCGCGGGGAGGAAGAAGGCCUUGGGGUUGGAAAGUACUUUAAGCGGGGAGGCGUUACCCGCAGAAGAAGCACCGGCUAACUCCGUGCCAGCAGCCGCGGUAAUAC